rnacentral:tmRNA from 3 species
GGGGGUGUAAAGGUUUCGACGGGGGUGUGGAACCAAAAUAAGCGAGCGGUAGUUUGCCGGUCUACCUUAAAAAGGCACGUUAAAUAUAAACGCUAAAAAUAAUAACAAUUUCGCACCAAUGGCUCUGGCUGCUUAGUCAGUCAUAAGCUGUGCGUGUCGGCUCAAGUUUACCUGUAGGCUUGAAGUCCGGCAUCGAAUAUACAGGCAAACUCUGUGCAGGCGCCCGGGGGCACAGGGGAACGACGGGAUAGUCGAGGCUGCAGCUUGUCAGUGAGCGGCGGCUUAGGCGAAGUUUAAAACAUUGACUGCGCUCGGAGAAAAUUUUGCGGAAAUGCUUUCGGACGCGAGUUCGACUCUCGCCAUCUCCACCA